AGUAAGCACAGAGAGUAUCAUUAGUGUCAUUUGACCAUACUGUUCAAUUUGAACUGACAUCAGUGUUUUUCUCUAGGAAAGACUACAUUUUCACUUGGUGUAUAUUUCCAUGGAUCCCACUGCAGCAUGUCUUUCAUCAGCGUGAUCGCCUCGUUGCUGGCGUUAGGGAUCAGGGAUCUGAGGCUGGUGGCGACGCACUUUGGGAAGCGGAAGUUCAUCGAGGUGGCCAGGUUGAAGCCCUCAGGCCAGUCUGACUGAUAUGGGUUCCCAGCACCUGACAGAUCUUGAAGAUUUCGUCCACCUCGCUGUUGCCGGGGAAUAGAGGUCUGAGUGUGUAAAGCUCCGCCAUGAUGCAUCCCACAGCCCAGAUGUCAAUGGGUGA